AUUGAACGCUGGCGGCAUGCCUUACACAUGCAAGUCGAACGGUAACAGGUCUUCGGAUGCUGACGAGUGGCGAACGGGUGAGUAAUACAUCGGAACGUGCCUAGAAGUGGGGGAUAACUACUCGAAAGAGUGGCUAAUACCGCAUGAGAUCUACGGAUGAAAGCAGGGGAUGGCAAGACCUUGUGCUAAUAGAGGUGCCGAUGGAAGAUUAGGUAGUUGGUGGGAAAAAAGAGUACCAAGCCGACGAUCUGUAGCUGGUCUGAGAGGAAGAUCAGCGACACUGGGACUUAGACACGGCCCAGACUCCUACGGGAGGCAGCAGUGGGGAAUUUUGGACAAUGGGCGAAAGCCUGAUCCAGCAAUGCCGCGUGCAGGAUGAAGGCCUUCGGGUUGUAAACUGCUUUUGUACGGAACGAAAAGCCCCGGGUUAAUACCCUGGGGUCAUGACGGUACCGUAAGAAUAAGCACCGGCUAACUACGUGCCAGCCGCCGCCGUAA
rnacentral:rRNA from 1 species